GUAUUACUGAGGAGUCUCACAAUAGGAUGAAACGGUCGUUCAGUAC
rfam:Schistosoma curassoni strain Dakar, Senegal genome assembly, scaffold: SCTD_scaffold0000443